rnacentral:rRNA from 1 species
ACGGAGGAUGCAAGCGUUAUCCGGAUUCAUUGGGUUUAAAGGGUGCGCAGGCGGAAUAAUAAGUCAGGGGUGAAAGCCUACGGCUCAACCGUAGAACUGCCAUUGAUACUGAUAUACUAGAGUACAGUUGAGGUAGGCGGAAUGUGUCAUGUAGCGGUGAAAUGCCUAGAUAUUACACAGAACACCAAUUGCGUAGGCAUCUUACCGAGCUAUAACUGACGCUCAGGGACGAAAGCGUGGGGAUCGAACAG